rnacentral:rRNA from 1 species
CCAGACUCCUACGGGAGGCAGCAGUCGGGAAUAUUGCGCAAUGGAGGAAACUCUGACGCAGUGACGCCGCGUGCAGGAAGAAGGUUUUCGGAUUGUAAACUGCUUUAGACAGGGAAGAAAAAAGACAGUACCUGUAGAAUAAGCUCCGGCUAACUACGUGCCAGCAGCCGCGGUAAUACGUAGGGAGCGAGCGUUAUCCGGAUUUAUUGGGUGUAAAGGGUGCGUAGACGGGGAAUUAAGUUAGUUGUGAAAUCCCAAGGCUCAACUUUGGAACUGCAACUAAAACUAAUUUUCUUGAGUACUGGAGAGGAAAGUGGAAUUCCUAGUGUAGCGGUGAAAUGCGUAGAUAUUAGGAGGAACACCAGUGGCGAAGGCGACUAUCUGGCACAUAACUGACGCUGAGGAGCGAAAGCGUGGGUAGCAAACAGGAUUAGAUACCCCUGUAAG